GUGCUCACUUUGGUAGUACAUAUGCUAAAGUUGGAACGUUACAGAGAAGAUUAGCAUGGCCCCCACAAAAGGAUGACAUGCAAAUUCAUGAAGCGUUCCAUAUUUUU